AAGGAGCACUUGGAUUGCCUUAGUAGCGGCGAGUGAAGCGGCAAUAGCUCAAAUUUGUAAUCUGGCACCUUCGGUGUCCGAGUUGUAAUUUGAAGAAGGUAUCUUUGGUUUUGGCUCUUGUCUAUGUUCCUUGGAACAGGACGUCACAGAGGGUGAGAAUCCCGUGCGAUGAGAUGCCCAAUUCCAUGUAAAGUUCCUUCGACGAGUCGAGUUGUUUGGGAAUGCAGCUCUAAGUGGGUGGUAAAUUCCAUCUAAAGCUAAAUAUUGGCGAGAGACCGAUAGCGAACAAGUACUGUGAAGGAAAGAUGAAAAGAACUUUGAAAAGAGAGUGAAAAAGUACGUGAAAUUGUUGAAAGGGAAGGGCUUGAGGUCAGACUUGGUUUUACCAGGCCAGCAUCAGUUUGGAUGGCAGGAUAAUAGCUAAGAAAAGUGGCACCACUUCGGUGGUGUGUUAUAGUCUUGGUUGAUACUGCCUGUCUAGACUGAGGACUGCGUCAUUUGACUAGGAUG
rnacentral:rRNA from 1 species